CGUAGGACAAAGACCUCAAAAGGAAUGAGUUUACUGAGGGGCUGCUCUUUAGAUGGUGAAACCACAGCACUGCACAAGUAGUUCUGCUGGUGAUCUCAUGUCUCUUUUCCCUUCUGGGUUUGCAACUGCCCUUUGAGGCUGGCAUCUCAUUGCUGGAAUUCAGUCUUUGCUGGAGACCUGCAGCCCCACUGCGAGAAGCACCGCUGUGCAGUACAGGGGUGACAAGGGAAGGCAGUGAGUUCUCUGUCUGGAAUUUCUGAGUAUAAAGGCAGAAGGAAAAGGGACUGCUGAUUUUUGCUUGUAAGCACAAUUGAUGUUUGACUUGAAAAAAAGUAUAACUUGGGUUAUUGUUCUGCCGCUGCACCCUCGGGUCAGAGCACUGCCAUAUAAGCAGUUGGUUCAGAGCAAGAGGGGAGGCAGAAACUUGGAGGGAAAGAAGCACAUGGGAGUGGAGCUGUCCCAGCAGGGUUCCCAAUGCUUUCUUUUCUCUCCAUCGUGAAGGCUUUUGUUUCCUUACUUGUGGCAAAUGCCAAAUCUACCGCUUGUGCUUUAAUGCCUGGUGAGAGGGGAGAGGUCUCCAGAGAAACCAUGAAAAUGGGGAAAGAUAAACUGGUGAUUAUUGAAAUGACAAAAUAUUGCAUUGGUGAAUGCUGAAUGGCUUAUAUGGAGAAGAGAGCGUUGCAGAAUGGAGGGAGCUCUUCUAUUGUUUGCACUUAGGAAAAAAAAAUAAAGGGAUAGUAAAUAUUCGCCUGCAUUGAUCACACAGUGAGUAGUUUGCUGUGCCAAAGCAGCCUGCAUCAGUGCUCAGGGUUAGUGCUUAUUGCAGGUGAACUGCCCAUGCAAAUGGUGGGUAGUUUGGAGGAGCACAGGUAGUUUUCAUCCUGUAUGGGCAGACACGAAGUUGGUUCUGGUGGGCUUUGUUGGCCCUCAAAGCAGAAAAGGAACAAAAUGGGACUGAGCAGUGGAUAAGGAUUUGAGGCUCAGUUCUUAUUUCUCCUGUAAAUACCCUGUAUCCCCUCAAUAAAACUGAUUUAUGGCUUUUAGCCAUGGUUCCUCACCUGUAAAAUUGGGAAAAAUACUUCCUUUGUGCCCCAUUUAUUUACAUGGUCAUCUCUUCCUAUCUAACACCGCGCUUGGUGCAGCGGGGCCUCGUUCCUUUCUCAGCACUCCAUGCGGAAUUUAUAUUGCAGCGAUCCUUGUAACUAUCAGCAAAAGAAAAUUACUGCAGACAGGCCUGAGGUCCCGGUGCUUCAGCUCUGCUCUGAUAGUGCUGCUGGCUGUGGUUUGGUGGCUGUCCCCUGCCCGUGGCUCUCAGCGUGUACCCACAGCUGUCAGUGUGAAUGACAGAUUAACAAAUGCACAGUGGCUUUGUUCCUCACUGUGCUGCCCCAGUGCCACGCUGGGUCUGCAGUGCAGAGGGAUGCAUGGCAUUGUCUCACCCACUAACACUCUGUCUGGUAACUGGCAAAAGCAAUGCUUUUCACCCGUUGCAAUGGGUGUGCUGUAGAAAAUGAAGACCGUAGGGAUGUGAGGGUCUUGUUUAAUUUGUUUUAUUUCUUAAUCCAAGAGUAAGAGAAUGCAAAACUUCCAAGCUGAAAGGCUUUGUGCUCUGCUUGCUCCAGGAGAUAUUAGUGAGGGAUCAGCUGGGUUCACCAGACUCCACAAGGUACCUUUGUUUAUGGAUGAGGCCGUGCAGUUGGGGAUCAGAGGUUGUGCAUAGCUGCUGUAGAGCACGCUGGGCUGCGAAAAGUCGGGCACCAGAGAUUAAUUUCUUGGUUUCUUAGAGCCAAGGUUUAAUAGCAGACCUGGGGAGGACAGUGAUUGAGCUCACAACCAGCAGAACUAUAGUUCAGGUCAAGUGAAAGGAAGGAGCUAAGGACUCAGCAUGCUGCUUGCAGGAGGAAUUCUAAUGGCUUCAUGGUAUGGGGUCUGCACAAGGCAUACAGGAGCUAGUGCCCGGGCUGCCCCAUGAAGCCUGCACAGCCCCGACCCCCUGCUCACUGCCCUGCUCACAGCUGGGCAUGGCAAGAAUAAAUCUGGAAGGGAACAAGAGAAAACAGAAAACGCUGGCAGUUUUUCAGUAGGGAGAAUGGUGUGUUUGAGCUGCAGUGGAGAGGGACAGCUUUUGGUUCUAACUUUUUGAGUUGCAUACUUCAACAAACAGUGUAAAUUUGGCAGGAUGAAGGCUGGGUGACCUAUUCUGGCUGGAUCGAGGACUGAUUCUGAAGCUGGGAUUUAACUCAGCUCUGACAUUUCAUGCUGCUAUUCCAUUCCACUUCAGUUUCAAAGUUUUCAGACUUUUUUUUUUUUUAAAGAUGUGCCCUUUAUGUAACUCAUUUAAUUGUGUCUAACUACACGGUGAUUUUUUUCCCCUCCCUACCUUCACAAAUGCGAUUGGAUAUACAUGUAGAUCUUAACUUAUAGCAUAUAUUACAGUAGGGGCAAGAGAAUCUGCCUUGAGCUUUCAUAUUUAUCCUGAAUAAGGCUGUACCAACUGGUUCUGCCUUAAAUUCUCUACCUCAAAGUCUCCUGGUGUUCUGUUUUCUCAGGAAGGAAACAGGUUGCACUGAACGCAAACUGCGCGGCAUGGAUUUACUGGUUAGACACAGAUGGGAUUCCUCUAUCAAAGUACUCUUGUGUUGUCUGCAUUCAUUACACUCACUAGAAAAGCUAUUGACAUGACAGCAUUCUCCUGUUAGGUUUUUUUCUGCUCUUUUAGAAGUGCCUGUUGGGUUGCAGUGGCCUGAAAAUGCAGUGACCAAGAUUAGAGGUUUGGACCUUGAGAGCCACAGGAGAGGAGCUUUCAAUGUCUCUGUAUUUGUUAUGAUCAAUUCAUAGUGACUUGAGUCUGCAAAUGAAGACGUUCUUAUGAAAUGUUUUUGAUUUUAUGCAUUUUGAUUCUGGUAUUAAGUAGUGUGAGAAAAGCAAAUCAGUCUUUUUGUUUGGCUGCUGGUUUAACGUCCAGUUCACAUUAGCAGGAUGCAAGGAAUCUGGAUGCUUGUUUGGAAGCCACUUAUGAGAUGUUCGAUUUCCUUCUAUGGAAGGAAAUACUGGAGAAGACUUCUAAUCUUAUGAUUCAAAGCAUGAAUCAGUCCCCAGAUUGGAUCUGUGCCUGCAGCAGUAAAAGGGGCAGAUUGUCACAGGGUUGCUGCUUUGUUCUUCUCUGGAGCACCCUGUACAGCUGCUAUCAAAGGCAGAAGAGCAGCAUCAAUGGAACCUGCUCUGCUCAAUGCAAGCUCUGAGUCUGGUGAUUUUCAGCAGCAUGUCAUCUUAAAUAUAUAUGUUUUUUCUUUUCUCUUUCUUUAUUAGUUUCAUGUUCCAGCUGACUUCCUCCAAGAGAGGAACAUGCUUUCCCAUCAGAACUACGUGAAACACCUGAGUUCAUUGGGACUGGAAGAAAACUGUCUCAGAGACAAAGAUACACAGCUUCCCUGGAUUGCUGGCUACAUGCCUGAUCUGAGGACCCAGGAAUCUUUUCCUGAAGUUAAUGUGAAUUCAGGGGGUGCGUGUUUUAAGAACUGAGCUGGGUCCUGUAAAAGAGGACACAUAAGUGGAACUGUAACCAUCCUGUGAACAGUCACUCAUUCUGGGAGAUGAAUAGUUGCUGAAUGGCAAGAGAUCGCAGCCUAAAUCUCCAGAAAAAUGCAUGCAAACCUAUCAGGUUUCUAUUGUCAUCUGCCUGACAUUGUGCUCCAAGUAGGAAAUAGGAAAGGCAAUAGGAAAGCUGCCUGUGUUUGAAAUCCAGAACUUUCUCUGGACAAAUAACACACUUGCUGUUGCAUGGCCAAAUGAGGACACAACAUCCUAUGGCACAGAUUAAGUUGUAGAGCAGGGUUCAUGGAAGAGCCCAUGUGCAGUGAUUUCUGCAUCCUUCUGAGUGCUGAUCAGAUUAAUGAGGACCACAGAAACAUGGAAAACUGUCGUAGUGACACAUCAGUAUCCUGUUAGCUUCAACAGAAUUACAGCAUUUGAUAUCAGCUCUUCCUUCCUUGCUGUUUCUCCACCCCUCCAAAACACCCCCUGAAACACUUGCAGGAGAAAUUGUAAAACACAUGUAACAGCUUAUUUUGUAUGAUGGGACUGUUAGAAGAGCUGCAUGUUGGUGUGCGUCCAACUCACAUUAACUUCAGUUUUGGGCUGCAGCCAUACUCGAGUGACUUUGCAAGUCUUUUCUGACUGUCCAAUAAAGUUGAUGCGUGCAGUAAAUCUGCAGUAUCCAAACAGUAUUUGAUAUCUCCAUUUUGGAUCAGUGGUUGGGUCUGGGAAGUGGAUGAAGCUUGCCUGAAGGCAGCAUCUGCAAGUUGUUUUUUUUCAUCAGAAAAAUGAAUGUCUGGUAUAAUGAAUGAUUUUGUAUAAUAUCAAAGAAAGAGAGUAUCAGCUGUGCACUUCAUACGCAGUAUUGAUUGCAAGUACGCUCAUUAAUUUGUGUGGUACAGGAAAUUCCAGCCAAGGUUAGGAGAGCUUUGCUCUGUAGUGGAGCUGUGACUCCUAUUGCCUUCAAAGAGGUUUGAAUCAGGUUGCAAACAACCAAAAUUCAUACUUCAGUUAUUUCGCUAUAGAAGUGUGUUGUCACAGACGACUUUGUAGACUUCUGGUAGAACAGCAAGGAAAAAUGGAAAUGUCCUGUCCCUGUUUGAGCCUGCUUAAGGGUUUGAUCUGUACAGUUUGGGUGCUCUGGGCAAAUGUAGGAUGCACGGUGGAACUCUGUUCUCAUUGUAGCACAACAAAAGAGAGGAGCUGGGGAGGGGAGGGAGAAGGUAUGUUUUCCACCAUGGCCUGUUUAAAACAUUAUGAGCUACCUCUCUUCCAUCAUGAGUCGUGGUUUAAAGCUACUGCCCAGGGGCAUAAAAAUCAACUCCUAACAACUUCCAGUGGGACCACUAUUCCAUCAGUGCUCCCAUCAAAUGUUGACUCCAUGAUUAAUAUUCACCCUCUUUCUUCGUUAAUCAUCAGUCUUCAUUCAUUUCUUUGUAACUUCUGCUGACAGGGGCACUGUUCAUACAGCAGCUGGUAGGGAAAACAGAACGAGCUGAACUGCUGCACGCAAGCUGUGAAGGGAAAAAGCCACAACAGUGCAUUGUGUCAGCUCAAAAUGAUUCCUACGGAUGCAGCUUUUUCUUUUCUCCUUGCCCUAUAUGCUCAAUUUUCAAUAGACGUUGUGAGGCAGGACCUUCAAACAAUCCGUGGUUACUAUCGCACUGCUUUACCUUGAGUGCCAUUGGCACUUGGUAAUUUAGAGCAGGAACUCUGCUGAUGAAGAGUGAACUGUCAGAAUUUGGCUUGUCAAAUAAAAUCUGUGUACAUCCUAAAAUAGACAGUUUUGCAAUUAACGCUUGCACUGUGAUUUG